CUGGCUUGUAUCCCAGCCCCGGCGGCCUGUGACUGAUGUAGGGCGGACAGAACCUAAGGAUAGGAAAAGAGAAAUGGAUAUGUGUUGAGCAUAUAUUCUUGCCAGGCAGUCUACCUAGCCACUUCACCCAGCCUGACCAUUCAUUUCAUCAGUCAACAAACAUCCGCUGAGCUGCUUCCACGUGCCAGGCACUUGGGAUGCAAAGGCACAGCAGCUAAGUUUUCUGCCCCCAAGGGUCUCACAGUCUGAAGAGGGAGACAGACAAGGGGGCUUCCAGUUUCCAUGUGGGGUGGAGACGGUGGGACCAGAGGGCAAUUUACUGUGAUGCUUCAGGACUCCUCAUUUGUGUGUGUCACUUCUAAAUAUUCACUCUUACACCUGUCUUUGUAAUUUGUAUUACUUUUCUUAAAGAGCAUUCUCAAAAUAUAUAAGCUUUGGAACUCAGUCCACCUGGAUUCAGCCCUUAGCACAACACAGCAAACCCCGUAGACAUGCACGUACAAUAUCUAUAUCUGCCCAGAAGGCUUCUAGAAGGUCGCCCUUGAAAUGAGACUUAAGCACAAGAAGUACACAGUGAAGUGGAGGGCGGGGGAUGGGAUGGGCCUAGAGAACAGGACCUAGGAAAGCGGUGGUGAGGGAGUCAAAAUAGCUCAAUUUAUCCAGGAUGAUGCAGGCUUGUGGGGAACGGUGUGUUGGCUAUGGGGGCAGCUGAUAGACAGUGGGGUGCUGGUGAGGGAGGGCAGGAGAGACUGUAAGGCCAGUGUGGGAAGGACUCCCAUCCAGGAUUUUAUAGAACUUUAACUCUGAUUUUUCAUGCUAGAAGGAACAACUGAAGGAUUUUUUGGAUCCAUUUUUUAGCAUUAGAUUUUAGAAUCAUCCAUCUGAUAUCAAGACGCAGGAUGACCUGGAGGCAGAGUGAGCAGCUGUUACCUAGGACUGUCCUGGUUUUAGCACCGAAGGUUCUCUGUCCUGGAACACCCCUCAGCCCCAGGGAAACCAGGACAGUGAACCACCUGACCUGGAAGAGGGUGGGCCCAAAGCCAGGAGAAACACUAAGGUGUGCUCAGCAAAUAUGCCUCCCAUUACCCACCUGACAGCUCCACUUUGAUGUCUAAAUGGCAUCAUUAAAUCAAUGUGCUCAAAACCUCAGAGUGUUUCACUUGCUGUUCCCCAGGAUAACCACACGGUUCACUCCUUCACCUCCCUCUGAUGUUUAUUCUGAUCUUACCUUCUCAGCAAGGCCUCCCCCCAAAUCCUCUUUUAUUAUUGCAGUCCCUAUGCUUGACAUUCCCUAUCCUUGUUUUGGUUUUGUUCAUAGUGCUCCACCACCACCCAAUGAGCCCAACAUAUUGAAUAUUUACAUUUUUUAUGGUCAGUUUUUUUCCCACUAUCAAAAUCUUUCAUGAAGGCGGGAAUUUUGUUUGUUGUAUUCAUUGUCCAGGACAGUGUCUGGCAUGUAGGACAGGUUCUUUGACUAAGUAAAUUGAGUCUCCCUUGAUUCAUCCCUACUCUCUCAGGCCCUGCAUCCAGUUCAUCUGCAAAUUCUGGUGACUGUCUGUUCAUGGUAUUUCCAGAAUAUGAGUUCUUAGCACCUCCACCACGCCUACCCAGGUCCAGGCCACGUCAUCGCUCACGUGGAUUGUUGCAAGAGCCUCCCUCCACAGGCUUCCCGUAUCCAACCUUGCUUCUGAACAGCCUGUUCUCUGUUCUCAAAUCAGCAGCCAGGGGAUCCUGCUGAAAUGAGAGAAGAAUGCCACCAUGCCCUGUCUGCCAUCUACCGCACAUAAUGGGAUGUUGCUCCAGGACCUUACUUCAGACAUGAACUACCUGCUCAUAUCUUUUACUAUCUGCUGCUGCUGCUGCUGCUGCUGCUGCUGCUAAGUCGCUUCAGUCGUGUCCGACUCUGUGCGAC